rnacentral:rRNA from 1 species
UACGGGGGAUGCAAGCGUUAUCCGGAUUUAUUGGGUUUAAAGGGUGCGUAGGCGGGCUGUUAAGUCAGCGGUAAAAGCCCGGGGCUCAACCCCGGCCCGCCGUUGAAACUGGCAGUCUCGAGUUGGAGAGAAGUAUGCGGAAUGCGCGGUGUAGCGGUGAAAUGCAUAGAUAUCACGCAGAACCCCGAUUGCGAAGGCAGCAUACCGGCGCCCUACUGACGCUGAGGCACGAAAGUGCGGGUAUCGAACAGG